rnacentral:rRNA from 1 species
GACGAACGCUGGCGGCGCGCUUAACACAUGCAAGUCGAACGGAAAGGCCUGCUUUCCCUUGUGGAUUGCGGGUACUCGAGUGGCGAACGGGUGAGUAACACGUGAGUGAUCUGCCCCCAACUUGGGUAUAAGCCUGGGAAACUGGGUCUAAUUCCCGAUAGGACUGCAGGGUGGUGCCUGUGGUGGAAAACGAUUUUCUAGUGGUUGGGGAUGAGCUCGCGGCCUAUCAGCUUGUUGGUGGGGUAAUGGCCUACCAAGGCGGCGACGGGUAGCCGGCCUGGGAGGGUGGACGGGCACAUUGGGACUGAGAUACGGCUCAGACUCCUACGGGAGGCAGCAGUGGGGAAUAUUGCACAAUGGGCGGAGGCCUGAGGCAGCGACGCCGCGUGGGGGAUGACGGCCUUCGGGUUGUAAACUCCUUUCGGCCGCGAGGAAGCCACCUGGUUGGAAGGGUGGUGACGGUAGUGGUAGAAGAAGCACCGGCUAACUACGUG